CUGUAAACAAGGAUUCACAAGGAUAUUAACAGACUCAAGAGGAAGUAACCAUCUAGAAAGGUUGGGCAGGCUCGUCCUUUGCUCUGGGAAAGAGAAGACUAAAAACCAUGACCAUCCAAGGUCUAGUCUGCAACAAUGGGAAGAGUCCAAAGAUUCCAGCCUCAAGGAUGAAGAAGCCACUUUCCCAGAGAAUGCGCCUUCAUCUGUCUCAACAUCUAGCUCCUCUAACCGAUGCCUCCAUGGUUACAGCAGUAAUUAAAAAAAGGACUUACUGAUGAAGAUAUGAGUCCGUGCGGAUUGUGAUCCCUUUAAAGCAAAAAUCAGAUAAUCCAGGUAACAAGUUUCCUCAAACUAAAAUCUUUUUUUCCCAGCAACUGUAAAUCUGCAACAGCUCUGGGAUCUCAAAUACCAAAAUGUUUAAUGUCUAGCCUUCUGAUCAAGCAGGAAACACAUAGAUAAAGGAGGCAGUGUUCUAUGCAUUUAAAGAUACUUGAAUCAAGUUCAUUGUUUGGAACAGUGAGACUGUUGUGGGUGAAUCAUUAGUUCAUUUGGAAUCAUUUUUAUUUUUGAAAUAAAGAUCAGAUGUUGCCUACUGUUGCAAUAAAUUUCUUAUAUGUAAUAAAUGUGCUGAUAUUGUUGGAAAGACAUUUGAAAAUAUUUGAAGUCAUGUUGUAAAAUUUAAACUGAUUAGACUAUUCUUGCAUUUCAUUUUUAAGUUUGCCUGAUUUUUGCUUUGUGCACCUUUCUAGACAGAACUGGCCCCGCUCAAGCUUACUGGGAAGUAUUCAGAUUGACAAGCCAAUUUUACUCCCUUCCAUUCCCCUGUUUAUCAUUAAGAACGAUUGAGAUCACAAAUCAACUACAUGGGACCGGUUAAGGAUAUUAAUCCUGUUCUGACUGUUUAAAAGAUCAGCAUCCAAACUCAUUCCUCCACUUUUUGUUCAUAAUCCUUUGAAUUUCUCAUCCUUAAAUAUUGUCCAGCUCUCUUUUAAAUUUAUUUAUGGAAUUCUGAAGGAAGAUCAUUGUUCUCUGAUAGCUGAGAGCUGUUCUUCCUAAUUGAAUGUGAUUGGGAGCUGCAAGUAAGUGAUACUUCUUUUUUACAUAUCAAGGUUUUAGCCCCAGUACCCAUGGAAACACGUAGGAUUGAAUCUUUUGUCUGAAUAAAGAUUAAAUCAUUUACAUUUUAAGUAACUGCAACAUUGCUUCCAACUACGUGCCAGAGUAAAAAGGCUAGUACUUCCAUAACUUUAGAACAUUCCUUUGUAGUACAAAUGAGAAAAAACACUUGAACCAGCUGCAUCUAUAACUUUCUUGGUCUAAUUCUGCUGAGGUAAGGAAGCUAUUAACUUUAUUAAGGACAUUGUUACUGUGGCUUCAUCUUGCCACAAGGUGUGACAGAAAACAAGAUCAUGUGGUAUAGCAUCACUUCCUGUGAUUAUACAUGCAAUCAUUAGCACAUCAACAUUCUGUGACAGAACCAAGCGGAAGCACUUCUUCUCUGGUAGUUCUUCAGGCUCAAGGAUGACUUGCUUUCGCUCUGGGGUUAGUGGGUGGGUACUAUAAUGGCUGAAUGGUUUAACCCUUGAACCACGGGUCUGACAGGUGCUAUUUGAAGGGGGGAGUGAGUGGGACACUCUGGACUCUGUGUGUAUACAUUCCCUCUGUUUAGGGGAGGUGAUGGCCUAGUGGUAUUAUUGCUGGACUGUUAAUCUAGAGACCCAGAUAAUGUUCUAGGGAGAGAUAAUGGGAACUGCAGAUGCUGGAGAUUCCAAGAUAAUAAAAUGUGAGGCUGGAUGAACACAGCAGGCCAAGCAGCAUCUCAGGAGCACAAAUGUUCUAGGGACCUGGGUUUGAAUCCUGCCAUGGCAGAUGGUGGAAUUUGAAUUCAAUAAAUAUCUGGAAUUAAGAGUCUAAUGAUGACCAUGAAUCCAUUGCUUUUGUUUUGGAAAAACUCAUCUGGUUCACUGAUGUGAUUUAGGGAAGGAAACAGCUAUCUUUACCUGGUCUGGCCUACAUGUGACUCUAGACCCACAGCAAUGUGAAUGACUCUUAACGGCCGUCUGGGCGAUUAGGAAUGGGCAAUAAAUGCUGCCUAGCCAGUAACACCCUCAUCCGUGAAUGAAUAAAGAAAAAAAGUUAGCUUAGGAAUCAGAGUCACAUUGUCCAUUACUAUCAUUAUUUAUAUAUUGUAUGCUUUUAAAGUAACAUCCAAUUAAUCCCACUCACCUGUUUUUAGCCCAUUAUCCUGUGAAUAUUUUCUUCGCAAAAAAACAAAAGAAACACACCAAUCAACUUAUAUGGCUAAAAUGUCUGGAUGCUAGACAGGACAACAAGUGCAACAACAGCGACUAAAGGAACGCCGGUGUUUCCAAAGCAUUUGAACUUGCUUUUCAGAGUAGAUAGAGGGGAACCAGUGGAUGUUGUGUACUUAAACUUGCAGCAUGCAAUCAACAAGGUAGCUCCCAAGAGGUUAAAUCAUUAGAUAAAACCCCUCAGUGUUUAAGGUGGUAUAUUAGCAUGGAUAGGGAAUUGGCUUAUGAGCAGGAAACAAUGAAUGGAGAUUUGGGGUUCAUAUUGAGAUUGGAAGGCUAAUGGACUGUUAGCCCUUAUUUCAAGGAGGUUGGAGUAUUAGAAGAGGGAGGUCUUAUUGCAAAUGUACAAGGUGCUGGUGACAUUAAUUUCUGGAGUACUGUAGGCAGUUUUUACCCCUUAUUUAAGGAAAGAUGCCAUUUCAUUGGAGGCACUUUGGAGAAAUUUCACUAGGAUGGCACUGGUAUAGAGGGAUUGCCUCAUGACAAAAGGCUAAACAGGUUGGGACCUAGUCACUGGAGUUUUAAAUAAUGAGAGGCAAUCUCAUUGAAACAUGUAGUAUUCUUAAGGGGCUUGAAAGGGUAAAUAGUGAGAGGAUGCUUCCCUUCAUGGAACAGUCUAGGACCAGAGGGUAUAGAGUCAAGAAUAAAUGGGCACCAAUUUAUGACUCAGAUGGGCAGGAAUUUCUUCUUUUAGAUGGUUGUGAGUAUUUGGAACUGCUUACCAUAGAGAGCUUCAGGGGCCAGAGACCUUGAGAUAGAUAGAUUCUGGAUCAGUGAGGAAAUCAAGUGUUAUCUGUAAAGGGCAGGAAUGUGAGUGUGAGGAAUGUCUGAUCAACCAUUAUCCUAUGAAUAGUGGAGCAAGCGUAAAGGGCCAAAUAGUCUACUCCUGUUUCUUACUGUUAUAUAUUUUAUUAUUUUACCAUUCUAUCUGGUAAUCAACCAUUUAAUUACAGGAAAAAUACUAUCCCAGAUCCUCCAGUAUCAGAAGUGGUAGUGCACUGAAUAUAAACUGCUGAUGUACAUGAAGAUUGGAGGAAGUCCUAGUGUGAGCACAUCACUGUAAUUCCCGCAUUUCCAGCAGCCACAGUAUUUUGCUUUCAGAAGAGGAUUGUAAGUUAGACUCGUACUCAGAUCUGUUGGGUUCCCAGCCCUUUGAGAAUUCCACGCCAACUUCUGGUCUGAGUGCAAGAACAGAAAUGGAGACUGCUGCCCACUCGUACUGCUUCAGAUCUUUGGGAUAAUUUUUGGAACAUCCUUAAACUUCCCCUGAAUUUCUGACAUGGCCAUCCCUGAUUGGCUCAGUAAGAUUGAUCAGGUCUGAUCCUGUAACAGUCCGAGGGAUACUGUAGAAGCAAACAGCUUCCGACUAAUCGUCUCUGUUCUCUGAGGGAAGGUAAUGAGGAUCUGGAACGUGCUACUUGGGAAGACAGUUGAGGCAGGAAACCUCACAACCUUUAAAAAGUACAUGAUGAGCACUUGAACAGUCAUGACAUUCAAGACCAAAUGCUGGAAGAUGGAAUCGGCGCAGGUAGCUCAGUGUGGACUCGAUGGGCUGAAGGCCCUCUUCAGUGCUGUCUGACUCUAUGAUUCUUUCACAAAAAAGAAACAUGAAAAGAUACCUCACUGAGACAUGAUGAACUAAGAGGGCAGAAGGGCUGUUUAACUGAACAAAACAAUUGAAGUGGAGUUGCAAUUGCCAACCUCCGAUCUGCAGGAACUGCUUCAGAGUCGUUAGAAUUUUCGUAGAUGACCACCAAUGCAUUCCAUAAUGCUGAAACCACUUGCUUUAAUAGAUUGGAAUGUCGAUUGUAAGGCUCUGAUGAUUUGUCAGCCUUUAACUCCAUUAACUUCCCAUAACCAUCUCCUUACUAAUAUGAAUUACCUCAGUUCCCUGCUGUCAUUAACCCUUGAUUCCCUAACAUUACUGGGAGCUUUUUGUGCCCUUUUUUAUGAAGACUGAAACAAAAUAUGUGUUCAAUUCUACUUCCAUUUCUUUGUUUUACAUUAUAAUUUCACUGUAAUUUCCCUGUCAUCUCUGAUACCAAACAUUUCACAAGGAGGCAAAAAUGGACCCCCUUCUUAGUUCUUUUGGCUGAAGACACGAUAUGUUCAGGUGCGCCAUCAUUGAGAAUGGAAAUAAUGGUGGAGCCUCCUUCUUCAGUGAGUUAUUUAAUUGUCUCUCAUCAUGUAUGACUGUCAUGGCACAACUACAGAGUUUAGACUUGACCUGCUGGAUCACUUUUCUAGCUAUGAUUGACAAAGUGCUUGACAUUCAAGUUGUCCUAAAUUGUAUCUUUACUGGGUAGACAAUUAUUUUUAGUUACCUCCAAUGCUGCUCAUGGCAUACCUUCCUCACACUUCUUAGAAGAAAAGUUUAUUCCUGGAUUGAUGGUAAUAUUAGAGUCGGGAAUAUGCCAGGCCUGUUUAUUAUUAGGGUAUCAACUGUUGUUGUAAAGAAUUCUGCUGCUUUUGAUGGCCCAAAGUUGGAAACUAGUUCUGUUUGAAAUCUAUCCCAUUCUACAAGGUGUUACUGUCACCAACAUGAUGAUGGGGUAUCCUUAAUGCGAAGGUGGCACAUGAUACCUAUGAUGAGCUCCUACCAAUGCUACAAUACACACAUACAUUUGAGAUAAAUUAGUUUGGCGAAAAUGAGAUCAAGUAUAAAAACGAAGUUGCUGGAAAAGCUCAGCAGAACUGAAGAAGGAUCAUUGGACCCGAAACGUUAAUUCUGUUUUCUCCUUCACAGAUCCUGCCAGACCUGCUGAGCAUAUUCAGCAAUUUUGUUUUCGUGAGGAGUACUACUCUUACUUUUGGAGAGGGGAGAUAUCUCUGUACCAGUUCCCCAGGAGUCUAAUAAAACUGCAUGAGCAAAAUUAAAUGUACAUGUUGAUAUCAUGCAAGACAUCUUCAUGUUUUAUAAGAAUAUCUCACCGUUAGGUUCUCCAAAGUGGUGAAUCCUCUGUCACUAAUCACUAGAUUGGUCCAAGUAAAAGUAUAGGCAAAGGACGUUUGGUGGCAGCGUACUGUCUCAAAUUGCUCUCGCCUAUUAUCACAUAGAAGUAGAGGUAAUAAAUGCUAUAAGAUACCAGGAGUGGCCAUCAUGGAAAAUGCCACCGGUCAGUAUACAUCCAUACCUGGAUGUUAAUGUUAUGCACAAUUCAAUGGGUAUUCUACAUUCAGCAGAAAAUGUCCAAAGCAAAUGAGAUUCUUAGAUUUCUGAGGAAUAAUCUUGGGCAUUGCAGUCAUUGUGGCCAGAAGACUUGAGAAAACCAAAGAAAAUUACAUUCUCAUCCAUAUUUUCACUUUUAACUUAUCUGUGUUUUAGAAAUGGACCACCUUGCUGGACUCAUAAAGUGGCUGAGUCUAAUCACAUGACUGGAUUUCUAGGUACUUUGCGUUGUAUAAAUGUUCCAGUUAAAACAUACGUUAAGAGCUUGGCGGUGAACCAUCUGCUUCUGCCAGCUCUGGAUAAAGGAAAAUGUCAAAUCUCGUUUUGUUAAAUUGGACACUAAUAGUUUGUCUUGCAAUGGGGACUCUGAUAGGGAAGGUAAAGCUACACUGUCAGUUAAUGACCUUAGCUGACAGAGAUGGGAUCUCUACACAUGAACUGCCUGUCUUUGUCACAUGACUGAAAUUUGAGCUUGAGAAUUGCUUAAAUAUGAAAAUUUAAGGUCUUAAGUCAGUUGUUUGUGCUGCUGAGGUUAUGUAAGACUCUAGACUGACUUGGAAUACCAGUCUCAGGCCCUUCAUUUCUGUCUCCAAGAGAAUGUCCAGAAAAAAAAAUCUUCGCUUUGCCUGCAAGGGGGAAAUCUACGAGGACUAACUUACGAGGAAAUUAUUAUUUGACAGUGACUUCCAGGAAGUUGCAACUCACAGUGAACACAUUUUCAGUCACUCCGUAUUUACCAAAAUGCGUAAAUUAUGACUUCACUCUUAUGUUGGCUUGUCUUCAUUAAUUUCUGAAAUGCAUAUGUGUGUGGAUGGAGUCGUGAAGAAAUUCUCACAUGUUUUGAUUAUUUUGUAA